UCACUCAUCAACGGAUAGAUUUCGACGAAUAUUUUCGAUUUUGCGGUUUCAAUGAUUUCGAAAUUAGCGCCAUCUAUUAGCCACGGAAUGUAUUUUAUCGAGUUGGCAAUCCGUCUAAGUAACCGAAACGGGCCCGGAUUUUUAUCCGACUAAGGACUGUCAACACGGCACAAUGCCUUGGAAUCAGGAAUAUUUUCUGCCGCUACAACAACAGCACUCUACUUUUCCCGCUCGAAAACCAAAAUCAUUAUAAAAAAAUGAAACCAAAUUUUCAUGAAGCUUCAAACAUAUUAAAAAAGAUAUAAGUGCUCCCUCUUUAUACGUGUUUUAUUUAUGCAUACUUUUUGUUAAAAAAUUAAGAGAAAUAAUUUUCGUAUUCUAUUCUUCCAUCUUAAUUUAUAUAGAUACAUAUGUAAAAAAUUUUACUUGAAUAUUAGUUUUAUUUACUGCGGCUUUAUUUUUUCGUAUGAAAUUAUUCCAAAAUAGAUUUUAUAGAAGAUAUUUUUUCUGCUUUAAUGAUUUUAUUAUUUAUUAUUAUAUUAUUACUUUUAUUAUUAUGGAUUAUUCCUAGUACCCGCAAGUAAUCAGAUAAUCUCCAAGCUUCUCUACUACAGAUGCGGCUUGUUGAGGUUGAACAGGAUCCUCAUAAAUAGAAA